UAGACCGCCUGGGGAGUACGGCCGCAAGGUUAAAACUCAAAUGAAUUGACGGGGGCCCGCACAAGCGGUGGAGCAUGUGGUUUAAUUCGAUGCAACGCGAAGAACCUUACCUGGUCUUGACAUCCACAGAACUUUCCAGAGAUGGAUUGUGCCUUCGGGAACUGUGAGACAGGUGCUGCAUGGCUGUCGUCAGCUCGUGUUGUGAAAUGUUGGGUUAAGUCCCGCAACGAGCGCAACCCUUAUCCUUUGUUGCCAGCGGUCCGGCCGGGAACUCAAAGGAGACUGCCAGUGAUAAACUGGAGGAAGGUGGGGAUGACGUCAAGUCAUCAUGGCCCUUACGACCAGGGCUACACACGUGCUACAAUGGCGCAUACAAAGAGAAGCGACCUCGCGAGAGCAAGCGGACCUCAUAAAGUGCGUCGUAGUCCGGAUUGGAGUCUGCAACUCGACUCCAUGAAGUCGGAAUCGCUAGUAAUCGUGGAUCAGAAUGCCACGGUGAAUACGUUCCCGGGCCUUGUACACACCGCCCGUCACACCAUGGGAGUGGGUUGCAAAAGAAGUAGGUAGCUUAACCUUCGGGAGGGCGCUUACCACUUUGUGAUUCAUGACUGGGGUGAAGUCGUAACAAGGUAACCGUAGGGGAACCUGCGGUUGGAUCACCUCCUUACCUUAAAGAAGC
rnacentral:rRNA from 1 species